rnacentral:rRNA from 1 species
AUGGAAGACAUGGACAUGCCCCCGUGGUUGAAUCCGGCCUGCUGUUAUUACUUGUUUGUCGUCUAUGUCAUGACCAGGCUGGUAGUGGUACUGCUAGACGGGUUCAUCAUGCGGUUCUGCAGUGUUCUGUUGCUGGCCAUGAUUCUUCCGGUGCUUUUUUGUCGCAGGCGGGUGCGCCUGUGCACCGUAGGAGUACUUCCUGGCGAGCAUCGCGAAGAUGAUCACGGCGAAUGCCCGUGUGCUACGUGCUACCUCGCCCUCGACGCCGCCAAGCACCACCGUGGCAUGGUCGCCGCGUUCCGCGGCAUCGCUUCCUCGUCGUCUUGGCGCCGCAUCGCUUCUUCUCCGCCUUGGCGCCGCACACCAGGAGAACCCGGCGCUGCUGCGUGGGCCGCGCGAGCCAUCCAAAAGGGAGCUCGCCGCACGCAUGAGCAUGAUCCAGGCAUCCAACAGCACGUCCGCCCUGCGGCCACAAAGCGGGGCUCUGUCGCCGCCACCAGGUGCCCGUACCGGGCAGGAGCUGCCUCGAGCCGAUGCCGCAGCUGCUCUGCGGAGCGUGAAGCGCCUGUCGCUGUGCCGGCUAAUCACGCGUACAAGCUGUCCGCCUGGCGGCGGCGCACACCGCCAGCAGUCAGAUUAAAUAUGAUUAGGGGUUAG